rnacentral:rRNA from 1 species
UACGUAGGGUGCGAGCGUUAAUCGGAAUUACUGGGCGUAAAGCGUGUGCAGGCGGUUUGUUAAGACAGGUGUGAAAUCCCCGGGCUUAACCUGGGAAUUGCGCUUGUUACUGGCAAGCUAGAGUGCGUCAGAGGGAGGUGGAAUUCCACGUGUAGCAGUGAAAUGCGUAGAGAUGUGGAGGAACACCGAUGGCGAAGGCAGCCUCCUGGGAUGACACUGACGCUCAUACACGAAAGCGUGGGGAGCAAACAGG